CCAUAGGCUAGCUCCUGGAUCACACACGCCUUACUGUCUAAGACGUUACCAUUGCUAUUUUUUUAUUGUGUUGCAAAGAAAAAUAAACAUUUCUUUAACCCCCUUAAGACCAGACCACUUUUCAAUUUUCUCACCGUUUGGAACCAGGGCUGUUUUUCCAUAUCUGUGGUGUUUGUGUUUAGCUGUAAUUUUCCUCUUACUCACUUACUGUACCCACACAUAUUAUAU